UACGGGGGGGGCAAGCGUUGUUCGGAAUUACUGGGCGUAAAGGGCUCGUAGGUGGCCAACUAAGUCAGACGUGAAAUCCCUCAGCUUAACUGGGGAACUGCGUCUGAUACUGGAUGGCUUGAGAUUGGGAGAGGGAUGCGGAAUUCCAGGUGUAGCGGUGAAAUGCGUAGAUAUUGGGAGGAACACCAGUGGCGAAAGCGGCGCACUGGACCACAACUGACGCUGAGGCGCGAAAGCUAGGGGAGCAAACAGG
rnacentral:rRNA from 1 species